GACAGAGGGUGCAACCGUUGUUCGGAAUUACUGGGCGUAAAGCGUGCGCAGGCGGUGAUGUAAGACAGGGGUGAAAUCCCCGGGCUUAACCUGGGAACUGCAUUUGUGACUGCAUCGCUGGAGUGCGGCAGAGGGGGAUGGAAUUCCGCGUGUAGCAGUGAAAUGCGUAGAUAUGCGGAGGAACACCGAUGGCGAAGGCAAUCCCCUGGGCCUGCACUGACGCUCAUGCACGAAAGCGUGGGGAGCAAACAGG
rnacentral:rRNA from 1 species